rnacentral:rRNA from 1 species
CCUACGGGUGGCAGCAGUGAGGAAUAUUGGUCAAUGGGCGCGAGCCUGAACCAGCCAAGUAGCGUGAAGGAUGACUGCCCUAUGGGUUGUAAACUUCUUUUAUAAAGGAAUAAAGUGAGGCACGUGUGCCUUUCUGUAUGUACCUUAUGAAUAAGGAUCGGCUAACUCCGUGCCAGCAGCCGCGGUAAUACGGAGGAUCCGAGCGUUAUCCGGAUUUAUUGGGUUUAAAGGGUGCGUAGAUGGGUUGUUAAGUCAGUUGUGAAAGUUUGCGGCUCAACCGUAAAAUUGCAAUUGAUACUGGCAGGCUUGAGUACAGUUGAGGUAGGCGGAAUUCGUGGUGUAGCGGUGAAAUGCUUAGAGAUCACGAAGAACUCCGAUUGCGAAGGCAGCUUACUAAGCUGCCACUGACAUUGAUGCUCGAAAGUGUGGGUAUCAAACAGGAUUAGAUACCCGGGUAGUC